AUUCUUCUAGUAUUAAUAAGUACAGCUGACUUCCAAUCAGCCAGUCUUGGUAAACUCUAAGGAAGAAUA
rnacentral:tRNA from 1 species